rnacentral:rRNA from 1 species
UACGGGGGGGGCAAGCGUUGUUCGGAAUUACUGGGCGUAAAGGGCGCGUAGGCGGCCUUCUAAGUCGGACGUGAAAUCCCUCGGCUUAACCGAGGAACUGCGUCCGAUACUGAAAGGCUUGAAUUCGGGAGAGGGAUGUGGAAUUCCAGGUGUAGCGGUGAAAUGCGUAGAUAUCUGGAGGAACACCGGUGGCGAAGGCGGCAUCCUGGACCGGUAUUGACGCUGAGGCGCGAAAGCUAGGGGAGCAAACGGG